UACACCAAAUUUCCCCUUUAUGACUGUUACCAACAUGUCUGUUAUGUACCUGGAUUAUCAGCAACAAAUCUAAUGACUGCCCAUCCUUUGACAGGUAAGCUAACUGUAUUUCUAAGAGGCGGGUCCACCAGGUUGAAUUUAGCUGUAUCCGUUUUAGGGUUGAAGUUUCCAAAUCCUUCUGCAAGUAUAUAGAAAUCAUAUCCAUGAAGAUGAAUCGGGUGGUUCUCAGCUGUAAAGAUAUUUGUUCCUUGCAACACAAUCUGAACCCUUGAUCCAUAUUUCAACUUAUACACCUUGGUCCCACGAGUAGGCUGCCACAACGACCGGCUUACAUUACCCGUAUAAUCAAAGGUCACUGGAGGCUUUGCCGGAAAGUCGGUAGU
rnacentral:lncRNA from 1 species